ACAAGUGCAGAGAAUAACAGUAGCACUGCUCUGCAUUCACUUCCCUUCGGAGAGGAUCACGUUGGUGUUUCAGCAGAAGAUGGUUGACAAGGCGUAGAAUUAGAGUGCAUAAAACAAGACAUAACUUGUUAUGCUCUCCCACACACAUCUAUUAUAAAAAGGAUCCAGGCCGUUGCUCCACAUGUACUCUCAAAUCAAGUUCUAAAUCCUUCUUGGCUACAGUACAAAUCCUUAAUCAUUCUGUGACCUCCACGGAACUUGAAUAUUGAAUAACUGGUCUACAUAUUUGGAUUAUGAAGAAAAAUUAAAUGCCAGUGGAAACAUGGUAUAGUUUGCCUUUGAAUAAAUCUGGAAGGAUGCAUAAUGAAAUUUCAAUGGAAGCUAUAUUUAAUGUGCUAAAUAUGUUUUUGUAUAUGUGUAUAUGGUCCCUUUAAUGCUUGCACUGAUUUUUUUAUUCCUGCACCUCGGGUCUCCUUUAUCAUAUAGUAUUUUGCAUUCUCCUGACACAGGCUCUAUUUUCCUUUUCAAGAAACACAACCCACUGCUGCAUCACAGACAAAAUAAUUUAUGAUAAUCCAUCUGGAAUCAUGUUAUUAUGGAAUGCCCAUCUUGAAAUAAUCUCCCCCAUACAUUUUUUAUGGAAAUCCCCAAACUCAUAAUAAAAUUCAUAAUAAUUAGGUAGGAUUAACGAUUACUAUUUUUUCUUUUAAUUACUGUAUGUAUACCUUAUACUAUCUUCUUUAGUUGUACUUCCACAUAAACGUUAAUUGUCAAGCUAAUAAUACUAAAUACUAAUUACUACAACUUGUUAUUGAGCUAUGUUCCCCUUGCUAAGAAGACACUGAAGAUCAUCAUUUUGGACAUUUUUUUUUAUGUUGGUACAUUACCAUGAUCUUAAUAUAUGGAUAUAUGUUAUUAUGUAUUGCAAAUGCAUUUUAUGACAGCCUUCAUAAUUUAUCUGUUUCAGCCAUGCAUAAAUAUGAGAUUUCUUUGUA